rnacentral:rRNA from 1 species
GAUGAACGCUGGCGGCGUGCCUAAUACAUGCAAGUCGAGCGAACGGACGAGAAGCUUGCUUCUCUGAUGUUAGCGGCGGACGGGUGAGUAACACGUGGAUAACCUACCUAUAAGACUGGGAUAACUUCGGGAAACCGGAGCUAAUACCGGAUAAUAUUUUGAACCGCAUGGUUCAAAAAUGAAAGACGGUCUUGCUGUCACUUAUAGAUGGAUCCGCGCUGCAUUAGCUAGUUGGUAAGGUAACGGCUUACCAAGGCAACGAUGCAUAGCCGACCUGAGAGGGUGAUCGGCCACACUGGAACUGAGACACGGUCCAGACUCCUACGGGAGGCAGCAGUAGGGAAUCUUCCGCAAUGGGCGAAAGCCUGACGGAGCAACGCCGCGUGAGUGAUAAAGGUCUUCGGAUCGUAAAACUCUGUUAUUAGGGAAGAACAUUUGUGUAAGUAACUGUGCACAUCUUGACGGUACCUAAUCAGAAAGCCACGGCUAACUACGUG